rnacentral:rRNA from 1 species
GACGUAGGGCGCGAGCGUUGUCCGGAUUUAUUGGGCGUAAAGAGCUCGUAGGCGGCUUGUCGCGUCGGGAGUGAAAUCCACUGGCUUAACUGGUGGCUUGCUUUCGAUACGGGCAGACUGGAGGUAUGCAGGGGAGAACGGAAUUCCUGGUGUAGCGGUGAAAUGCGCAGAUAUCAGGAGGAACACCGGUGGCGAAGGCGGUUCUCUGGGCAUGUC